rnacentral:rRNA from 1 species
CCUACGGGAGGCAGCAGUGAGGAAUAUUGCACAAUGGGGGAAACCCUGAUGCAGCGACACCGCGUGAGCGAAGAAGUAUUUCGGUAUGUAAAGCUCUAUCAGCAAGGAAGAUAAUGACGGUACUUGACUAAGAAGCUCCGGCUAAAUACGUGCCAGCAGCCGCGGUAAU